CUACGGGAGGCAGCAGCAAGGAAUUUUGCGCAAUGGGCGAAAGCCUGACGCAGCAACGCCGCGUGGAGGAUGAAGGCUUUCGGGUUGUAAACUUCUUUUCAACGGGAAGAUGAUGACGGUACCGUUGGAAUAAGUCUCGGCUAACUACGUGCCAGCAGCCGCGGUAAUACGUAGGAGGCGAGCGUUGUCCGGAUUUACUGGGCGUAAAGAACGCGUAGGCGGUUGGCUAAGUCUGAUGUGAAAUCUCCUGGCUUAACUGGGAGGGUGCAUUGGAGACUGGUCGACUGGAGGGCAUCAGAGGAAAGCGGAACUCCCGGUGUAGUGGUGAAAUGCGUAGAGAUCGGGAAGAACACCUGUGGCGAAGGCGGCUUUCUGGGGUGUCCCUGACGCUGAGGCGUGAAAGCGUGGGGAGCGAACCGGAUUAGAAACCCGUGUAGUCC
rnacentral:rRNA from 1 species